rnacentral:rRNA from 1 species
UACAGAGGGUGCGAGCGUUAAUCGGAAUUACUGGGCGUAAAGCGUGCGUAGACGGUUAUUUAAGUCGGGUGUGAAAGCCCCGGGCUCAACCUGGGAAUUGCAUUCGAGACUGAAUAGCUAGGGUACGGUAGAGGGAAGCGGAAUUUCCGGUGUAGCGGUGAAAUGCGCAGAUAUCAGGAGGAACACCGGUGGCGAAGGCGGGUCUCUGGGCCGAUACUGACGCUGAGGAGCGAAAGCGUGGGGAGCGAACAGG